rnacentral:lncRNA from 1 species
CUGUGGCAGGGAGUGGGAGGGUGAUUAACAGGGGAAGAAUUAGGAAAGAGGACACGCAAGACCACAGUAAGAGAUGGAAAUAAGAGAAUAUUCCUGAUUUCCACUGGAUGACUUUGACUGGUAUGAUUUCAUUCUCUGAAAGUGUUAACCAGGGUGCAGCAUGGCCAGAAACCAUUCCGAGCCUCAUGAAGUGGGCAAGUCAGGUUUGGUCAUUUUUGUUCUACUGGCUUUGAAGAAGCAAGCUGCUAUGAUGUAAACUGACUAUGGAGAAGGCCACGUGACAGGGAAUUGGGUGUAGACUCUAGGAACUGAGGUCUUAAUCCUACAACUGCAAGGGGAUUAAAGUCUACCAACAACCACCUGGGCUUGGAAGAGGACCGCUGAUCUCCAGAUGAGAACGGAGCCUGACCAACACCUUGAGUGCCACCUUGUGAGACUCUGAGCAAAGACCCAGCUAAGCCACACUUAGACUCUUGACGUACAGAAAAUGCAGAAGAGGAGAAGGAAGAGGAGAGGUUGUUCCUCUCAGGGGUGGCAGAUGUGGAAGAAAAUUCAUGUGUAAUGUCAUUGCAUGUACACAGUUUAAGACAGAGCAUCUGGUGAUUCUCGGACCUUCAAGCAAGUGUCACAUCUCAGGUGAACCUUGGCAGUUUUAAGAUGAACAAAGUAAUCAAAGCAAAAAUGUCAAAUAAUAAUAAUAAUAAUGAUAUCAGAAGAAUGUCCAGUGCCAUGGUUGGAUUCCCAGAAGGCAGCAUCUGCUCAUGCCAUCAACAACAUGGUGCCAUUUCAGUCAUCCUCUUUUUGUCCCAAAGACAGAAAAAAAAUAGAAAAAAGAAAGAGAAAAAGACACCACGAACCGUCUAUCCUCCUGGUAAUACAAAUACACCUGUAAAUAAACAUGUCAAUGUCUACACACAACGCACAUUUAUGCAGAAUCCAUCCUCUCGGUGCUUCCGUAGUUAUCAAGUAAAAGUCCUUCUAAGCCUAAGAAAUGAUAGUAUUAAUUCAGUCUUGGGGUGUGGGGGGAAAGGUGGACUAUCAUCAAAUAAAAAAGGCGAGGCUAAUUAAGUGACAUCCACUGGGGACUGGGAAAAGAAGAGACUUCUUGUGGGAAAGUAAUUAUAUCUUCAUUGACCCUCCUGGGGUACCCCCAGUGGCAGGGACUCUGCCUCGCGGUGUGACAUCUCCUUUCGGGAUGAGCAGCCAGUCACCUCGAGAAGCCCCCUUCUCCAUGGAUGCGUUUUCUAAUCAUUUCACAUGAUUGAGCCUCCAGCAAGUGAUGCUUUACUUAAUUCCUUUCCGCCUGUAGGGUGUGAGGUUUGGAGGGCCUCUCGUCAAAACUUUGGAGGGCUCUGUCAGUUUGAAAAGAACAUGACCUUUAAAUUGUAUCAGUAUGUUUGCUGGUGCAUAAGGGAGAGGAAAAGGUUCGUCCUGAUGGAAAACCACUCAGAAGCCAAGGAGUAAUUCAGAGGGAACCAGCCCAGGAAGAAUCAAGAAAGCUGCCCACAGUGUCAUUCUUCAGCUGAGAAAAGAGAGAGUUGACUAACUCCUCGGACUGGAGUGAGGACUCACAGAGGUGGUGAGAAGCCAUCCUCUCUUGAAUGGGGGCUCCCACUGUACAUCUGGCACCCACUUCACAGAUUCUGGGGGAUGUCAACACCAGCACUGCUGAGCUGUGUGACCUUGAGCAAGACAGUUAGCCUCUCUGAACCUCAGUGUCCUUCUCUGUAGGCUGGAGAUUGAUAUACCUUCAUUAUCGGGGUAUGAGAGUGUUAUAAGGUGGGAUGGUGGAACACGCUGACUGGUCUGGGCUAUUCAAGAUCCAUGAACUGGAAGAUGCUUUCUUAUAACUCAGAGAAAAGAGAUGAAAAUGAAUCAAAGAACAGGAAGGAGACAAGCUCAGGAGAGUCACCCUAAGAAGGAUGUGUGGAAGACUUGACUGGAGGAUCAAAAUGUGUCGGGGGAAGGUGUACAAGGAGGAGUAAGGACACAGAUGUCCUGACUUCACACAGUGGGGGAUUAGAAGCCACCAUCAAACACAGAUGAAACAGGAAUAAAAGUAGUAGUACAUUACUUAAGCUUUAAAAGGGUAAGACUCCUGGGAAUUUGGAAGCUGAGACUUGAGGCAAGUAUUUAGGAUUUGCUGUCUCACCUCCCUGCUAUGACAGUCCUUAAUUAAUGGAGAUGAUGGAGAACAGCUUGCUGGGCUGAGUGGCAGGAGCCAUGCAGCUGCUGGGGCUGGAGUGGGUCAGGAAGCUUCAUCAAUCUGGGACACAUGACGUGCUUGGUGGUGGCGGAGCCUGACGCAUCCCUCUUCAUCGACAUUGUGUCAAUAGGAGCAGAGGCAUUUAGCUGUGUAAACACAGAGCUUCAGUGGCAGCACCCUAAAUGCUUAGCUGAUAGAUCCGGAAUUAAAUACAGACCUAGAAACUGGAGUUGGAAAACUUCCUGGCAGCACUCCUUCCCUGCCAUCCCGGUGAUCCCCUUCUGGAUGGAGGGUGUGGAGCUCAGCACAUUCACGUCUGCAGUUCUCAGAGAACCAAGUGUUAAGGAAUGUCAGGGAAGGAAGAAGGCAGCCAGCCAGGAAGGGGAGGUCCUGGCCUGAGCACGCCAGGCACAGAGGGAUAGAGGGUAGGGAGGAAACUGCACCUGUCUCCAACCCUCGACCCCAGCCCCGAAACACGACAUUGGCUGAAACAGAUUAAAAGCAUAAAAUGGCCCAAAGAAAUGGGAGAAGGUUGGCCUCUGGUCGGGCAAACAUGAGGGCAUGAAGAUAUAUAAUGUCCCACACGGGAGGAAACCCUUGCCGGGCCCCUCAGGAUUUAUAACAAGCUCACCUGAAGGAGAAACUUCAGGGGCACUUACACCAUCAGAUACCUAGAAAGGAGCUGUCAUUUCCUCACUGAAGAGUUUGCAAGCAGAUGGUAAAAGGGGUUUAAUUUGAAAACACUGAAACAUCGUGUUCGCUCAAAACCAUGACAAUUGCAGUUUUAUUGUCUCCACUCAGGAAAAUGUGUGUCUGGAUCAUCUUGUGGCCCGAAUGGGGAGAAAAGCAGCACAAGAAUGGAAUAGUACAGUGGCUACGAACACAGAAACCACACUCCAGGCCCAGUCCCCGGCAGUGGCCUCCAGGACCCACUCUGAGCUAGAUCACAUCAGUGAUGGGCUGGCCAAUCUUUAAGGAGAAUGACUCUACUCUUAGGAAGCCAGCAGGUUGGAGGAGGAAACACAUUCAAAUCCCGAGCACAAGGAGCUGGGAGAAGACCGGUUAUGGGAGCGGCAUUCCUGGAAGCUCUGAAGUCACAGCCCCACUGAUGAAAGGAUGUAAGAACCUAAGAGUGGAAACCUGCCCCUGGGAUUCAUAUGGUGUCCCCUCAGGACUCAAACCCUGGUCUGGUAUGCUCAGUAAAUGAAUGAAUAUACCCACUACACCCCAGGUUAUUUUUUUUCUGAAGACAUCGUUUGACACAGAGGGAACACUGUAGAUAAGAAGCCCAACCCUGUUAGAAAGCAGAAGGGUUUGUUUGGGAAAAGGAAACAAAAUAUAUUUUUAAGCUCCAUAAACAUAUGAUGAAUGCUAACAAGGUAUUUUCAAAAUAAGAAGCACAUAGAAACAGCUUAUGUUUCUGGUCAAAUGAAGUUGUAAUCAAAUCGUUAUCAAAGCAAAAAAAAAGAGAGGAAGAAAUCAAAAUGAGUCAGAAGAGUUUUUGGAAAGAUUCAGCAACUUAACUGACUUGAAGAGAUUUCCCUUGUCUCAGUCUUACUGCUGCUUCUAGGGGAACACAGUUUUGCACGGGAAUCGAGGCCAACUUGCAACCCACAGGCACUCUGGAGGAACAAAGAAAGUAUCGCCUGCAACUCACCACGGUCUCUCUCUCUUAAGCCCUUGCUCUUGCCAGAAGAAGUUUCACACAAAGGUUUGCCUGCGAGGCUGCGCUUUCCUCUCCAGAUCAGCAGAAACAACUUACCAGCAGAAAUACUUAAUGACGGAGCCAAGACUGGCACAGCCACGCGGUCACAGCUUUGUUCCCAAGAAGCAAGCCAAUUAGCAGCCCUGGUUAUUAUUUACAUUUCCCGCAAUAUAUCACUAAAAUUGUGUUGAUGAUUUAUCAUUUAUAUUAUGUUAUUGUCAGCAUAAUUUAUUCAGAUCAUGCUGAGAUACCUGGAAAAUUAAGUAAAAGAAAAAGAAGUGGCAUUGAAUUCAUCGGGUUUGAAAGAUAUUUCUCAGCUUCUUUUUUCUCUCCCUCUCUUUCUCUCUCUCUCUCUCUUUUAAUGAGGAUAGAUGUUAAGAAAAAUCAUGGAUCACUUAGCUAUUAAAUUGUUCCAGGAUCAUCUGCAUUAAAAGUUUGCUCAGUAUUCUUUUGUGAGAGAACAUGGCUUGGGCGUUCAUUUGGAUUUUCUUCUGGAACCUUUUCUUUCAGUCUAUUAUUUCAAAGUAAAAAAAAAAGGAAAUGCAAUCCUCUUUAGUUUAGAGCAAAGCAGAGUGGAUUAAUGAGGGGCUGGAGGCUUCUCUUCCAAUUUAUAAAACAUCCUUAUCUUCUGCCUUAUAUUCUAUUUGCCCCACCCUCUGGGAAAUAAUUGUUGCUUAUCAGAAUUAGAGAUAAAAUAUUCCAGUUGUUGAAGCCAUUCAUCAUCUAGGCAUUCUAGAAAAGCAGUUACUGAACUAGAGGCAGCAUUUUGAGCAUCAGAGCUCUGGGUUCUAGUCCCAGGUCUGUCCAGGCUUUGUGUGAUUCCAGGAGUCACUGAAGCUAUCCUGCUUCUGUUUCCCCAGCAGUGGGAUUCAUGGAUGUCCAGGAUCAGGCUUGCUGGGUCUGCCCCAGGUCUUCAGAAUCAGACUGCCUGGGGAAGGCACAUGGAGGUCUUUUUGACAGGUGUCAUAGGUGAUACUUCUACACACUUCAGUUAGAAAAGUCAUUGGGCUUACAUAUGCCUGCAGCCACUUCCAGCUCCAGUCUUCCUAGAGUUCUACGGACUCUAAUUAUAUGGCAUGUUUUGCAUAUUUCUGAAACUUCAUAUGGGAAACAAACUUUUGGAAAUUGAUUCAUUUAAGAAUCUGUGGCCAGGCGUGGUGGCUCACGACUGUAAUCCCAGCACUUUGGGAGGCUGA